ACUCAAAUGCCAGGUCAUCACUUCCAAACACACCGACCCCUUUUCAAUUGAAAUCAUGAAAUAGAGAAUGCAAGCCACCUAGACUGGAAGCCCAAAUUAUGAACGCUAACCCCCAAAUCGAUUUUGCAACACAAUUGAAGGACCUCAAAGCUUGAUUGUUGUAGCCGUUCACAUGGAGAGACCACUUGGAGGUAAUCCCAAAACAUUUCUCCUUUUGAAGAGAUCUUGAAGCCAGACAUUGGUGCCUCAGGAGUUGGAUGUAUUUUCAGGUAAUGGGGUUCAAGAGUAUACUAUUGGAGCUUACUCUCCAUGGUCUAUUGGUUUUGAAUUGCAAAUUUGGAAGGGGUGGGAAAAUUAUUUCAGAUUUUAUGACUUCUAAAAAAAUGGGGAAAUCUUGGUUACGUUCAAAGGAGAAAUUUUGGCUUCCACUUUCUUAUAAUCUGACACUUCAAGGGAUGCCACGAUAUUUUGAAACAAAAGUUCUUGUUGGUAGCCUUAUUUUAAUCUAUUUUCAGUAUCUACAUCUAUGAAUUGUGAGGUCCGAAUUAUCGAUUCUUUUUAUGUUUAUAAUUUGUUGUAUAUCGUCAGGGCUGUUUAUUACACUGGUCAUCAUUACCUGCUUACUGGCAUUCUUGGACUUGUGAUGAUAUGGAUUUGUGUAGCCAUGCUGACCUACGAGACUGUCUCAAGAACAAAAAAAAAAACUUUAAAAAAUGUGUUCAUUUGUGUUUGCAAUUCUUGGCAUUCUGUUUGAGCAUAAUUGGAGUAUGGGCUGCUAGGAAGUUUCACAUGGAAGUUUCACAAUGACAAAGGUGUUGACAAUUUCUACAGGCUCCACUCAUGACAGAGGCUGUUUUAGAGAAAACAACUUUUCUUCAAACACACAACAUAAUAUCACACCUUUCAUCUGAGGUGUUGUUGGUGAACUUAUAGCAUGUUGAUAGUUGUUUUGGGUGGUUUUGUCAUUCUUGUUGUCGUCCCUCCUGUGUAUGGCAAAGGUGACAUUCUCAGUAGAUCUAUAGAAUAGUAUCACUUUUGUAGAGAGAGAUGUGACGAGAUUGAAAUUACUAAAAUUUUCUUGUUGGCAGAUUUAAAGAAAAACCAAAUGAAAUUUAAGUUUUUGUACAAGAUUUUGAUUAUAUGAUGUUUCAACUUCAAUGAUUUUGUUACUGCAUAUGGGAGUUGGGUGAUCUAUCAAGACUGAAAAACAAUAUUAUGGGACUAAAGCAAGCUGGCCAUCUAUAUAUCCCCUCUACUAUAAAAGAGUGAAUCACAAUUUACUGUUCAUUCUUGAAACCUCCAAUUCACACCUAAACUGGUUUACUAGUGUUCACUAUCUCAUUUUUUGCUGUUUAGUAUAUCUUCAAGCGGUAUAGAUAGACAUGGGAAAGUAGCUUUUCACUGUUGUUACCCAUAUCUUUCUUUAAGAUCUCGAUUUCUUCUUCUCUUCUCAAAUAUUCAAGGAACCCCUACUAUAUCUACAAAAACCCUUGACGAAAUUGCCUGCAAAUGUCAUUUACAGUUGACGAAAUCGAAUCUUCAGAAUAUCCUUUCUCUUUUUAUGAAUUGUUGGUGACGAUUUUAUUUUCUCACUAUUAAUCAUUAUUUUGUGUUUUCUUCUCAUUCAACUUCCUUUCGUAAAAUCUAGGAACAUUUCCACAUGAGUUGGACAACAAAAGGGGAUUUCUUGACGCGAAGUGGACUGUAGCGAUCUACUUUUUUCUUCCACCUUUGUUUGAAGAUUUGCGAUUCUUUCAGAAAAUCCACAUAAAGUGUAUCGUGCUAACCUCAAGUACGUUAGUCUCUUGUUUAUCCUUGAAUACGUUUAUCGAGUUUCGUAUUUUUGUUCCUGUUUGUCACUUUUCAAUUCCUGAUUGUGUUCCUACAAAUUUGUGUGGUAGUUUCUUCAAAACUUGAAGUGGUUUUAUAUUUACUUUAAUUUACGGUGUAUAGUCUUUUAAUUUCUUCUUUGGCUAUGUUUAACUGUUUUAUUUCUCCUAUCUAUAUGUUUUAGCUUUGUAAAACUUUGUUUAGGGAGUAAAAAAUUUUACAUUUAUGUUGCCUUAGGUUCAUAGUUAUUGAGAUUGAUGAUUCUAAAUGUAUAGUCUUUGUUUAAUAAGGUCUUUUUAAAAGAAAAUUUUUCAUUCUUUUGAUUUCUACUCGGUUUAUGUUCAAAUUUUCUAUUGUUUUACAGUUGUACUUCCCUUUGAAGAAAAAACUGUUAAAUACAAUUUCACUUUCAAUAAGCUUGAAGGAGAAUCAUAAGAAUGAACUGAAAUUUGUAUUUCAUGCAUUAUGUAAAAGUAAUUCUUAGUGUUUAAAUAUUUAAAGGAAUCCCAAUUUACCAUUCAUUCUUCAAACCUCUAAUUCAUACCUAAAUUGGUUCACUACUGUUCACUAUCUCAUUUUUUGUUGUUUGGUAAAUAUCUACAAGUGGUAUAGAUAGAUAUAGGAAAGCAGCUUUUCACUGUCGUUACCCAUAUAUUUCUUUGAGACUUUGAUUUCUUCUUCUCUUCUCAAAUAUUUGAAGAACCCCUAAUAUAUCUAUAGAAAAUCCUCAACGAAAUUGCCUACAAAUCUCAUUUACAGUCGAUGAAAUUGAAUCUUCUGAAUAUUCUUUUUCUCUUUUUGUGAAUUGUUGGUAACGAUUUUUUUUUCUUACUAUUAAUCGUUUGAUUGUGUUUUCUUCUUAUUCGACUUCCUUUCGUAAAAUCUGAUAAUAUUUCCACCCAAAGUGGACAACAUAAGGGGAUUUCUUGACAUGAAGUACACUGUAGCCAUCUACCUUUUCCUUCUACCUUUGUUUGGAGAUUUGAGAUUCUUUCAGAAACCCACACAAAGUGGAUCAUGCUGACCUCAAGUACGUUAUUCUCUUGUUUAUCCUUGUCCACGAUUUUCGAGUUUCGUAUUUUUGUUACUGUUUGUUUGUCACUUUUCAAUUCCCAUUUGUGUUCCUAUGGAUUUUUGUGGUAAUUUCUUCAAAAAUUAAAGUUGUUCUAUAUCUGCUUUACUUUAUGGCGUAUAGUCUUUUGAUUUUUUCUCUGACUAUAUUUUAAGUGUUCUAUUUCUUCUUUCUUUUUGUUUUAGCUUUGGGAAACUUUGGUUAGGGAGUAAAAUAUUUUGCAUUUCUGUUGCCAUAGAUAUAUAGUCUUUGCUUAGUAAUGUUUAUUAAAAGAAAAUUAUUCAUCUUUUAGAUUUCUGCUCAGUUUAUGUACAAGUUUUCUAUUGUUUUACAGUUGUACUUCCUUUUCAGGAAAAAAUUGUUUAAAUAAAGUUUCACUUUUAGUAAGCCUGAAGGAGAAUCAUACGAAUGAACUGGAAGUUGUAUUUCAUGCAUUAUGUAAAGGUAAUUCUUAAUGUUCAAAUAUUUGAAGUAAUCCCCUCUGCUUUAAAAGAGUGAAUCCCAAUUUACUGUUCAUUCUUGAAACCUCCAGUUCACACCUAAAUUGGUUCACUACUGUUAACUUUCUCGUUUUUUACUAUUUGGUAUAUAUCUACAAGUGUAUAGAUAGAUAUGGGAAAGUAGCAUUUCACUGUUGUUACCUAUAUCUUUCUUUGAGACCUCGAUUUCUUCUUCUCAAAUAUUCGAAGAACCCUUAAUAUAUCUACAGAAAACCCUUGACGAAAUUGCCUACAAAUCUCAUUUACAGUCGACAAAAUUGAAUCUUCAGAAUAUCCCUUUUCUCUUUUUGUGAAUUGUUGGUGACCAUUUUAUUUUCUUACCUUUAAUCGUCUGAUUUUAUGUUUUCUUCUUAUUUGACUCCCUUUUGUAAAAUCUAAGAAAAUUUCCACGCGAAUUGUACAACAAAAGGAAAUUUCUUGAUACGAAGUGGAUUGUAGCAACCUGCCUUUUUCUUCUACCUUUGUUCAAAGCUUUGUAAUUCUUUCAGAUAACCUAUGCACAGUGGAUCGUGCCAACCUCAAGUACGUUCAUCUCUUGUUUAAAGGGUAUACAUUUUUCGAGUUUUGUAUUUUUUUUCCUAUAUGUUUGUCACUUUUCAAUUUCAUUUGUGUUCCUAUGGAUUUGUCUAGUAGUUUCUUCAAAGCUUGAAGUGGUUUUAUAUUUGCUUUACUUUAUGGUGUAUAGUCUUUCUAUUUCUUCUCUGACCAUGUUUAAGUGUUCUAUUUCUUCUUUCUAUAUGUUUUAGUUUUGUGAAACUUUGUUUGAAGAGUAAAAAGUUUUACAUUUUUUGUUGCCUUAGGUUCAUAGUUAUUGAGAUUGAUGAUUCUAGAUGUAUAGUCCUUGUUUAGUAAGGUUUUUUAAAAGAAAAUUAUUCAUCCUUUUGAUUUUUACUCGGUUUAUAUACAAGUUUUCUAUUGUUUUGCAAUUGUACUUCCCUUUGAGUAAAAAAAUAUUGAAUAAAAUUUCACUUUCAGUAAGCCUGAAGGAGAAUCAUACGAAUGAACUGGAAGUUGUAUUUCAUGCAUUAUGUAAAAGUAAUGCUUAGUGUUCAAACAUUUGAAGUAAGAAUCAGUUCAUGUAGACAUACUCUGCAUAUUGAACUCUCUUUGAGUUUAUUA
rnacentral:lncRNA from 1 species